rnacentral:rRNA from 1 species
CCUACGGGUGGCAGCAGUGAGGAAUAUUGGUCAAUGGCCGGAAGGCUGAACCAGCCAUGCCGCGUGAAGGUCAGUGGCCUAUGGGCGUUUAAAUUCUUUUUUGCGGGAGCAAUCAUGGUCACGUGUGGCCAGACGAGAGUACCGUACGAAUAAGCAUCGGCUAACUCCGUGCCAGCCGCCGCGGUAAUACGGGGGAUGCAAGCGUGAUCCGGGUUUUUUUGGGUUAAAGGGUGCGUAGGCGGGGAUGUAAGUCAGCGGUAAAAUGGCCGGGCUCAACCCGGGCCGGUCGUUGAAACUGGGGAUCUUGAGUGGGCGAGAAGUAUGCGGAAUGCGUGGUGUAGCGGUGAAAUGCAUAGAUAUCACGCAGAACCCCGAUUGCGAAGGCAGCAUACCGGCGCCCGACUGACGCUGAGGCACGAAAGCGUGGGUAUCGAACAGGAUUAGAUACCCCUGUAGUC